AGGAGACCCUGUACAUGGCAUCAGCUGUUGACCCUCGGUUCAAGAAUCUACCCUUCCUCCCUGCUGAUGAGGCUGAUGACAUCUACGCACGACUGACUGAAGCUGUGGAGGUUGAGAUACAAAAGCUAACUACUACUUCUACUAUGGUAGCAGCAAGAAGAAGAGGAGGACAAAGAAGACAAUCAACCAGCAACUAACAUCCAGCCACCCAUGAAGAAACCCAGAGCAUCAUGUGCAUUGGCUGAGCUGCUUGGACAAACUUUUUCCUUUGACAAACACCAUCGAGCACAAAAAUCUGCACAUGAUGUUGCAGCAACUGAAGUUAGAAUGUUUAGAGAUGAAACCCCCUUGCCUCUCAGUGAUGACCCUCUUGACUGGUGGAGGAAGCACAUUGCAGAGUAUCCUCACAUAGGUAGAGUAGCAAAGUGUUUCCUCUGCAUCCCUGGUACAAGUGUCUCUGCAGAACGAGUUUUCUCCACUGCAGGAGACAUUGUGUCUGCACAAAGAAGUGUCCUUAAAGCUGGACAUGUAGAUCAGCUUGUGUUCCUCAACAAGAAUCUUAAGAUGAAGAAAAAAUAAGCUCAGUAGCUCACAUGUUCCAUCCUUUUAGUCAUAGUAGUCAUGUCAUAGGAGCUAUUCCAGGCGUUGGCGUUUGUUAUACUGCAAACAUGUUUUGCUGACGUUGCACUUUUAACAGUGUAGGGUUUUAUAAUAGUUGUCUAACUUGUCUUACUACGUCUACUACAGAUGUACAUAUUCUGCAGAAACACUUGUACCAUGGAUGCAGACAAAACACUUUGUAGUGUACUCUACCUUUUUGAGGAGGAUACUCUACUAUUCCAGGCGUUGGCCUUUGUUUUAUACUGCACAGAUGUUUUGCUGUGCCUGUUGC